GACGAACGCUGGCGGCGUGCUUAACACAUGCAAGUCGAACGAAGAGCGAUGGAAGCUUGCUUCUAUCAAUCUUAGUGGCGAACGGGUGAGUAACGCGUAAUCAACCUGCCCUUCAGAGGGGGACAACAGUUGGAAACGACUGCUAAUACCGCAUACGAUCUAACCUCGGCAUCGAGGAAAGAUGAAAGGUGGCCUCUAUGUAUAAGCUAUCACUGAAGGAGGGGAUUGCGUCUGAUUAGCUAGUUGGAGGGGUAACGGCCCACCAAGGGGAUGAUCAGUAGCCGGUAGGAGAGGAUGAACGGCCACAUUGGGACUGAGACACGGCCCAGACUCCUACGGGAGGCAGCAGUGGGGAAUCUUCCGCAAUGGACGAAAGUCUGACGGAGCAACGCCGCGUGAGUGAUGACGGCCUUCGGGUUGUAAAGCUCUGUUAAUCGGGACGAAAGGCCUUCUUGCGAAUAGUGAGAAGGAUUGACGGUACCGGAAUAGAAAGCCACGGCUAACUACGUG
rnacentral:rRNA from 1 species